rnacentral:misc_RNA from 1 species
UUCGAUGGGCCCCGCAUUUCCAUUAACUGCCCGCCAACCCCACCAAAAAUUUAACAGCGAGAGAAGAGAGCAUAUGGUAAUAUCACUAUCGCUCGUCUGAACCCAAAAAGCAGAGAGCUUUCCCAAAUAUAAUAAGGCCGAAGGUCCCAUUUUUAAUGCUGCCAUUUUCUGCUUAUGAUAAAAAGGAAAGUGCUUUUUGAAGUUCACGAAAAGGAGAAAAGGAACCUAGUUGAGUUUUGAGAUGGGGG